UGGGGAAUAUUGCGCAAUGGGGGGAACCCUGACGCAGCCAUGCCGCGUGAAUGAAGAAGGCCUUAGGGUUGUAAAGUUCUUUCGGUAUUGAGGAAGGUUGAUGUGUUAAUAGCACAUCAAAUUGACGUUAAAUACAGAAGAAGCACCGGCUAACUCCGUGCCAGCAGCCGCGGUAAUACGGAGGGUGUGAGCGUUAAUCGGAAUAACUGGGCGUAAAGGGCACGCAGGCGGUUAUUUAAGUGAGGUGUGAAAGCCCCGGGCUUAACCUGGGAAUUGCAUUUCAGACUGGGUAACUAGAGUACUUUAGGGAGGGGUAGAAUUCCACGUGUAGCGGUGAAAUGCGUAGAGAUGUGGAGGAAUACCGAAGGCGAAGGCAGCCCCUUGGGAAUGUACUGACGCUCAUGUGCGAAAGCGUGGGGAGCAAACAGGAUUAGAUACCCUGGUAGUCCACGCUGUAAACGCUGUCGAUUUGGGGGUUGGGGUUUAACUCUGGCGCCCGUAGCUAACGUGAUAAAUCGACCGCCUGGGGAGUACGGCCGCAAGGUUA
rnacentral:rRNA from 1 species